rnacentral:lncRNA from 1 species
AUGAUUUAGCAUGAGGGAGGCGAGUAGGUCACGUGGUAUGAAUUUGGAGUCGAAUGGACAAACUUGUGUCUUCGCCAAAAAUUUCGAUUUAACUUUCGAAGCGUUUGGGUGAUAUUUGAAAGCCAACGAUUGCAGAUUUGGAAUGAAGAGAUGGAGGAGACUCGGGGUGUUUUUGGUGAAGUUUGGCGGUGGCGCCUAGGGUUUCCAAGAUUUGGGAAUUUUGACAGGGAUUUGGAGUAUUUCAAGUGUAGAUAUGGAAAGAGGAAGGAGUGAAUGGUACGUGGUGUGAUUUUUGGGUCAUUCUGUGGUUGGUCGCCGCCGUGGACGAUACAGGGUUUAUGCCUGGG